UUUAAUAUAUAAUUAAUUAAAUUAUAUAACUAAUAAAAUAAAUAUAAUAUUAUAUUAUAAAUAAUUAAUAUUAAUAUAAUUUUUAUAAUUAUAUUUAUAUAAAUUUAAUAAAUAAUUAAAUUAAUAAAAUAUAAUAUAAUAUUAAUUAAAUAAAAAUAAAAAUUAAAAGUGCGGAAUACCGCACUUGAAAUGUGCGGUAAUACAUUACCGCACUUUAAAAGUGCGGUAAUGUACAGAAAUGUUUUUUUUUUUUUUUUUUUUUUUCUACCGCACUCUAUGAGGGCGGUAAGGUCUACCGCGCUUUUAAAGCGCGGUAGAGUCCAUUUUCACCCUGGUUUCGGAAAAAAAAAUUUCUGAACCAAGGUUUGAGAAUUUUUUUUUUUUUUCAACUUGAAUAAGUAAAAAGCCCA
rnacentral:lncRNA from 1 species